AGCGAACGCUGGCGGCAGGCCUAACACAUGCAAGUCGAACGAAGCCUUCGGGCUUAGUGGCGGACGGGUGAGUAACACGUGGGAACGUACCUUUUGGCUCGGAACAACUCAGGGAAACUUGAGCUAAUACCGGAUGAGCCCUUAGGGGGAAAGAUUUAUCGCCGAAAGAGCGGCCCGCGUUAGAUUAGCUAGUUGGUGAGGUAAAGGCUCACCAAGGCAACGAUCUAUAGCUGGUCUGAGAGGAUGAUCAGCCACACUGGGACUGAGACACGGCCCAGACUCCUGCGGGGGGCAGCAGUGGGGAAUCUUGCGCAAUGGACGAAAGUCUGACGCAGCAACGCCGCGUGGGUGAAGAAGGCCUUAGGGUCGUAAAGCCCUGUCAGAUGGGAAGAAACCUGCCUUUAAGGUAGCUGACGGUACCAUCAAAGGAAGCACCGGCUAACUCUGUGCCAG
rnacentral:rRNA from 1 species